rnacentral:lncRNA from 1 species
GAGCCGAGAUCGUGCCAUUGCACUCCAGCCUGGGUAACAAGAGCGAAACUCUGUCUCAAAAAAAAAAAAAGUUUCGUCAUCUAUUUUAUGUGCAUGCGCGCGCGCGCACACACACACACAUACACACAUUUGAUCCCCCUUUCUUUAUUUAAUCUGAUGUGAGCUGUGGGUCUUUCUCUCCCAGGUGGAUAGCCGGUCAUACUAUUAUCAGAACCAUCCUUUGUCCACUGAAUUGAAAUCCCACCUUUACAUGGUUCAUUUCAUCUGUAUUCAGAGAGACCUGCCCUAAAUAUGCCCCCAUUUGUUUUUCUUUGAGUUAGUUCUGCUUUAAAAUAUUCAUGAGUUAUUAGAUUGCUUGUAUUAUUUUUAAUUCACCUUUCAUUUUAAAUUGUCAUCAUUAAUUUAUGUCUUUUUGUUUUAUUGAACUUUAGUGUUAAAUUGUUUCUGGUCAUGAAUUUACAAAUGUUGGUCCUCUUGUGAGUCCAGUUUCCCCUUCACUGUGUAUUAUGGAAUAUUUGCAUCAAGCAUGAUUUUGUUUGUCACCUUCUCUUGCUGAAUUAGAUCCAGUUGUGGCAGGGCCUGAUGUUUGCCCCGGAUCAGUGUCUGGAUUCUGCUCACUUCUACUGCCUUUGCCUGACAAUGCUUAGAAUGAAAUGCGAUGGAAGGCUCUUGAAGGUGCCACUCACUGCAGGUCUUGCUCAAGUUUUCUGAUUGGUGCAACUUAAAUCACACCCAAAAUACCGGCUGUGGGAGAGCUCUGAGAUUUCAUCUUUCCAGCCUCUGUGUGCUGCAUGGGGUUUGGAGCAUUUGCCAACAAGCCAAUCCACUGUAUUCACCAUUGACAGUAAGUAAAAUGUUUAUGAUCAGUAACAUUUGCAUUUUUCAUAAUUUGCAGCAUACAUACUUCUUAAUUAGAGCUAAUGUCAAGUCAUUCUACAUAUAAAAAUAUUAUUUCUGACCAUUACUGAAGAAACAGCUUUUUUAGAAAUGGAAAGCAAUGCCUACAUUAUUUCCUAAAUAUGCA